AGCUCCAAUAGCGUAUAUUAAAGUUGUUGCAGUUAAAAAGCUCGUAGUUGGAUUUCUGGAUGGAGCGACCGGUCGGGCAUUAAUUUGUCUGCACUGGAGUCGGUUCCGUCCAUCCUCUUGGAAAGUGCGUGGGGCAUUAAGUUGUCUGGCGUAUGAUCCAAGUCGUUUACUGUGAAAAAUUAGAGUGUUUAAAGCAGGCCUUCGCCUUGAAUACAUUAGCAUGGAAUAAUAAGAUAGGACUUUGGUCUAUUUUGUUGGUUUGCAGACCGAAGUAAUGAUUAAUAGGGAUAGUUGGGGGUAUUUAUAUUCCGAUGUCAGAGGUGAAAUUCUUAGAUUUUCGGAAGAUAAACUUAUGCGAAAGCAUUUACCAAGGAUGUUUUCA
rnacentral:rRNA from 1 species